CGCAGGAGGGGGGUGUGAGAAUGACAGUGCAGUUCUUCUUUGGCAUGGAGUCGAAGCUGGUCCAAAUGCACGCUUAAUUACCCUCCUUGCCAAAGGAGAAUUGCCCUGCCAUUUGCUGCCCCCGCA
rnacentral:pre_miRNA from 15 species